rnacentral:rRNA from 1 species
UUAAACGUCCAUACCGCGAUGAAUACACCGGUUCUCGUCCGAUCACCAAAGAUAAGCAACGUCGGGCGCGGUCAGUACUUGGAUGGGUGACCGCCUGGGAAUACCGCGUGACGUAGGCG